rnacentral:rRNA from 1 species
UACGUAGGCAGCGAGCGUUGUUCGGAGUUACUGGGCGUAAAGAGUGCGUAGGCGGUUUUCUAAGUUUGGUGUGAAAUCUCCCGGCUUAACUGGGAGGGUGCGCCGAAAACUGGAAGGCUUGAGUAUGGGAGAGGUAAGCGGAAUUCCUGGUGUAGCGGUGAAAUGCGUAGAUAUCGGGAGGAACACCGGUGGCGAAGGCGGUUCUCUGGGCCUGUACUGACGCUGAGGAGCGAAAGCGUGGGGAGCGAACAGG